rnacentral:tRNA from 1 species
GUAAGACUUAAGUUAAUCAAACUCUCUGCCUUCAAAGUAGUUAAUAGGUGAUAACCCCACCUAGUCUUAUA